rnacentral:rRNA from 1 species
GAGUUCGAUUAUGGCUCAGAUUGAACGCUGGCGGGAUGCUUUACACAUGCAAGUCGAACGGCAGCACGGACUUCGGUCUGGUGGCGAGUAGCGUGAACGGGGUGAGUAAUGUAUCGGAACGUGCCUAGUAGCGGGGAUAACUACGCGAAAGUGUAGCACACCGCAUACGCUCCCCGGGGGAAAGCGGGGACCUUCGGGCCUCGCACUAUUAGGAGCGGCCGAUAUCGGGAUUAGCUAUUGGUGGGGUAACGGUCACUCGGCGUUAAUGAUCCGUAGCUGGUUUGAGAUAAUGACCAGCCACACUGGGACUAUGACAUUUGCCCGACUUUGCCGUGGAGGCAGCAGUGGGGAAUUUUGGACAAUGGGGGAAACCCUGAUCCAGCCAUCCUGCGUGUGCGAUGUAAGGCCUUUCGGGCGAAGUACUGGCAGGAGAAGAAACGGCACGGAUAAUACCCUCGUGCAACUGACGGUACCUGCAGAAUACACCACACAAUCUACGUUACAUAUGCCGCGGUAAUACGUAGGGUGCAAGCGUUAAUCGGAAUCAUUACUGGGCGUAAAGCGUGCGCAGGCGGUUCGGAAAGAAAGAUGUGAAAUCCUGUAGAGCUAACUUUGGAACUGCAUUUUUAACUACCGAGCGAGAGGUCAGAGGGUGGAAUUCGCGCAGGCGGAAACGCAGAUAUGGUGCAGGAACACCGAUGGCGAAGGCAGCCUCCUGGGGAUAACACUGACGCUCAUGCACGAAAGGUGGGGAGCAACAGAUUAGAUAUCUUGGUAGUCCACGUUCUCAAACGAUGCUGCCAAUCUAUUGCUGGGCCUUCGGCCCGGUAGCGCAGCUAAUGCGGGGGUUGACCGCCUGGGGAGUACGGUCGCAAGAUUAAAACUCAAAGGAAUUGACGGGGACCGCACAAGCGGUGGAUGAUGUGUGAGACGAAUUCGAUGCAACGAAAACCCACCAGCCUUUGAGGCGUCUGGAAUCCCUGAAGAGAUUGGGAGUGUCGCAAGAGAACCACGGAACACAGGUGCGCGUGGCGGCUGUCGUCAGCUCGUGUCGAGAUGUUGGGUUAAGUCCUGCAACGAGUGCAACCCUUGCUUGCUGAGUUGCUGAAAGGGCACUUGAACAGACUGCCGGUGACAAACCGGAGGAAGGUGGAUGACGUCAAGUCCUCAUGGCCUGCGGUAGGGCUUCACACGUCACAUAAUGGUCGUGGACAGAGGGUCGCCAACCCGAGGGGGAGCCAAUCCCAGAAACCCGAUCGUAGUCCGGAUCGCAGUCUGCAACCUGACUGCGUGAAGUCGGAAUCGCUAGUAAUCGCGGAUCACAUGUCGGCAGGAAUAUGUCUCCGGGAACCGGUACACAACGCCGCCCGUCACACCAUGGGAGUGGGUUUUACCAGGCGAAGUUAGCCUAACCGUAAGGAGGGCGAUUACCACGGUAGGAUUCAUGACUGGGGUGGUUGUAACAAGGUAGCUCUGCUACACUGAUGUUCUCUAGAUGGCUUGAUCUAGGCAGGCUGAAUCCUCCGCUUAUUGAUAUGCUGUCUGAAGGGUAGCCCACCAUCGAGGUCAACUUGUUUGCCGUUGUAAGGCCGGGCCAAUAAUACUCGGCAAAUAUCCCGCCACACCAUUCAACGAGUUGGAUAAACCUAAUACAUUGAGAGGUCGACAGCACUAUCCAGUACUACCCAUGCCAAUACUUUUCAAGCAAACGCCUAGUCCGACUAAGAGUAUCACUCAAUACCAAACCCGGGGUUUGAGAGAGAAAAUGACGCUCAAACAGGUAAUGCCCCCUCUUGGAAUACUGCGAGGGCGCAGCCAGUGUUCAAAGAUUCGAUGAUUCACGGAAAAUCUGCAUCUAUAUGCUUUAUCGCAUUUCGCCGCGUUCUUCAUCGAUGCGAGAACCAAGAGAUCCGUUGUUGAAAGUUUUGAAGAUUAAUUCAAAAUUUUGACUAACUGUAAAAAAUAAUUAACAAGUUUUGUUAAACCUCUGGCCCAACCUAUCUCUAGGCCAAACCAAAGCAAGAGUUCUGUAUCAAAAGACAUCGUGUGUAGGUUUUUCGCCGCGGCAGUUGCUGGCGUAAGAAUACUGUAAUGAUCCUUCCGCAGGUUCACCUCCAU